AUGGCGGAGUCACUCCUUCUCGCGCUCACGAAAGUGAGUUACUACUUAGCCGAACAAGCCGGUUACAAGCUAACUGAAGAAAUAAGAAAGCUGAGGGACCUUCCAAGUAAGGUCGGGAAAAUUGAGCGGGAACUGAGGAUGAUGAAUGCAGUCGUACGGCACAUUGACACGGCCGACACGAACGAGCUCCUCAAGGAAUGGAUAGUGGACGUGAGGAAGCUGGCGUACCGUGUGGAGGAUGUCAUGGACAACUUCACCCAUCAUGCUCUUGAGCUCGAGGGAGAGUCCUUCAUGAUGAGACAGGCCAAGAAGAUAUACUUCAGCAAGCUUUUCAGUGCAAUGGCAUCUGACAUAAUCCAGAUAGAUGAAGACAUUCAGCAUGUUACGGCCCUGAGAGAACGGUAUGUGCAUGUUGACCUGACUCAACAACAGAUGCAAGCCCCCCAAGAUGAACUGUUGCCUCAAGUCCGGUUCCCGCAGUUUGUAAAUGAUGAAGAUCUGGUGGGGAUGCAACCAUACAAGGUCCCGCUGACACAGUGGCUGCAGUCGGCAGAACCAGAUGGAACAGUGAUAACAGUGUGCGGUAUGGGAGGACUGGGAAAGACCACCCUCGUCGCAAAUGUGUAUGAGCGGGCCAAGAGCGAGUUUCAGGCCCAUGCAUGGAUUGCUGUGUCCAAGACAUACGCGCCGGACGCUCUGCUGAGGACACUGAUUCGGAGUGUUGGUGAGGAUAAGCAAGAGCAGCUGGGGAAUGACAAGAACAUCCAAGAUCUGAGAGCAGUACUGAACAAGAAGCUCAAGGAACACAAUACCAUCCUAGUACUGGAUGAUGUAUGGGACCAACGUGUGUUUCUGGACAUACAGGACGCAUUCAAAGAUCUUGAAACAAGCCGUGUUGUGAUCACGACAAGGUCCGAUGAUGUGGCCUCUCUUGCUAAUCCAGCUCGCCGGCUUAAACUGCAACCCCUGGAAAGCAGUGAUGCAUCUGAGCUCUUCAGAAAGAGGGCAUUUGCCAAGAACAGAGACCACAAGUGCCCCGACCAUCUCAAGGAGCUCGCGGAAAAUAUUGUCAUGAGAUGCCAAGGCCUGCCACUGGCGAUCGUGUCCAUCGGCAUCCUGCUGUCUUCGAGGAAGCAGAUAAAGCCUGUGUGGACGCAGGUUUAUAACCAGCUUCGAUACCAUCUGGCCAAGAACGAUGAUGUGCGAGGGAUUAUAAACCUGAGCUACCGCGACCUGCCUCCCGAGCUCCGAAACUGCUUCCUGUACUGCAGUAUGUUCCCGCAGAAUUGGUAUCUGGCACGGAGAAGCCUUGUCCUGCUGUGGGUUGCAGAAGGAUUCGCCGUGAGAGAAGACCAGAGCACGGCAGAAGAGGUGGCUGAGGGGUACCUGGAGGAGCUGAUACGGAGGAACAUGCUGCAGCUCGUGGAGACGGAUGAGCUAGGCAGGGUGAACACAUGCAAGAUGCACGACAUAGUGCGCGACCUGGCUCUUUCCAUUGCCAGGAACGUGAGGUUCGGCGCAACAAAUAACUCCUCUGAAGCCAUCUCAACAAUGGAUACUGAGAUAGUUCGUCGCCUGUCCAUGAGUGGAGACACGUAUAUCAAUCAGAAGAAGGGGCUGCCGCAUCUCCGCACCCUGAUAGCACAUGGAAGAAGCCCUGCAUCGUCCCCGGACGCAAUAUGGCCAGUUCUGCUCAAGUCCAAGUUCAUAACUGUUCUCGAGCUGCAGGAUUCCAAUAUCACUCUGGUGCCACCGUCCAUUGGGGACCUAUUCAAUCUGCGAUACAUCGGCUUAAGAGGGACUGCAAUCAAGAUGCUACCAGAUUCUAUUGAGAAGCUGCUGAAUCUGCAGACCCUGGAUGUGAAAUCAACUGGCAUAGAAAGGCUGCCACGAGGGGUCGCCAAGGUGAAGAACCUAAGGCACCUGCUAGCCGACCGUUCUGACGACGACAAGGAUCUGGAGUUCACGUGCCUGGGAGUGGCUGCACCAAGAGCUCUAUCAAACCUGGAGCAGCUGCAGACUCUCGAGACAGUCGAAGCAAGCAAUGACUUAGCAGAGCAACUCGAGAAGCUGAUGAGACUGGAGAGCCUGUGGAUCGACAACAUCAGCGCGAACCAGUGCGCGGAACUGUUCGCUGCGGUGUCCAGGCUGCCUCUUCUCUCGAGCCUGUCGCUCGCCGCGAGUGGCCAAGACGAGGAGCUCUCCUUCGAAGCUCUCCAGCCAACGUCCAGCAAGCUCCAGAGGCUGAUCGUGAAGGGGCUCUGGGCCACCGCGACUCUGGACUGCCCCAUAUUCAAGGAUCACGGAGGGAACCUCAAGUACCUGGACAUGAGUUGGUGCAACCUCGGGGAAGAUACACUCAAGGAACUUUCAUCUUACCUGCAAAACCUCACUCACCUGAAUCUCAACAGGGAUAUGCAUGACGUCGUCAAGCUAACGAUAGAAGCUGGCGCCAUUCCGACGAUCCGAGCGUUGUAUCUUAGGUCGAUGCCGAAGCUGGGGAUAAUUCCUGAUGGCAUCGAGUCCCUUGACUCCCUCAAGAAGCUUUGGAUGGUUGGCCUGCACCCCGAGUUCAGUGCGCGGUGGAAGAAGAAGGAUGAGUGGCGUCAGAAGGUAAGCAAAAUCCCGGAGCUUCGCAUUAUCUAA
rnacentral:rRNA from 1 species